rnacentral:rRNA from 1 species
GAUGAACGCUGGCGGCGUGCUUAACACAUGCAAGUCGAACGGAAAGGCCCAACUUUGUUUGGGUUCUCGAGUGGCGAACGGGUGAGUAACCCGUGGGUCAUCUUCCCUGCACUUCGGGAUAACCCUGGGCAACUGGGUCUAAUACCGGAUAGGAGCACGUGUUGGAUGUUGUGGUUGGGAGCUUUUUCGGUGUGGGGGUAGUUCGCGGGCUAUCCGCUUUUUUGGGGGGUAAUGGGCUACCAACGUGUCUACGGGACUCGGGCCUGAGAGAGUGUACGGCGGCAUUGGGACUGAGAGAAGGCCCAGAUUCCGACGGGAGGCAGAAGUGGGGAAGAUUGCACAAGGGGCGCAAGCCGGAUGCAGAGAGGCCGCGGGGGGGAUAACGGCCUUCGGGUUGUGGAAGCCUUUCGAGAGGGACGAAGCGUGUUUGUGACGGUACCUGGGAAAGAAGCACCGGCUAACUACGU